CCCGGGUUCGAGCAAUUCUGCCUCAGCCUCCCGAGUAGCUGGAAUUACAGAUAUUGCAUAUUUUAAAGUGAAGAUUUGUGACAACCCCGUGUGAAGCAAGUCUAUCAGUGCCAUUUUUUCCAACAGCAUAUGCUUAUUUCAUGUCUCUGUGUCACAUAUUGGUAAUUCUCAUAGUAUUUCAAAACUAUGAGAAUUAUUAUUAUCUGUUCAUUAUUGUUAUCUGUUAUGGUGAUAUGUAAUUGGUGAUCUUUGAUGCUACCAUUGUAAUUGUUUGGGGGCACCAUGAACUAUACCUGUAUAAGAUGGUUAACUUAAUUGAUAACUACCAAUAAAUACUGUGUAUGUUCUGACUGUUA